GUAGGGUCAGCUAAUUAAGCUUUUGGGCCCAUACCCCAACAAUGUCGGUUAAG
rnacentral:tRNA from 1 species